AGGAGCGCGCCCCCGAGGCCCCCGCCCCGCGAGCGCGCCGUCACAGAGGCGCGUGGCCCGCCCCCGCGCGCCCCGCCCCCACGUGGGGGCCCACGCGCUGCCUGCCUCCAUUAUGUAACGGCGCCGAGGCGAGGCCGCUCCUCUCUCAUUGGCCGCGCUGGCCGUGACGCGCGCCUGAGGCCGGCGCCCAUUGGCAGAUCGCGGCGGGGCGUGGCCCACCCCCCACAUCGCGCAGCCCCCCGACCCCGCCGCCCCCCGCCAGGGGGCGCUGCCUCGCUCCGCGCCCCCCCUCCGGGGCGCCACAUGGAGGGGCGUGACGGCGGCUCCACCCUCCUGGCCAAUCAGCGCAGAGCGGCUUCCGCAUUGGGCAGCGCCGCCGGCUGCGCGGGCCAACGGGGGCGAGAGGGCGGGGCGGGGCGCCGAGUCUCCGCCCCCUGCCGGGGCUCGACGUCCAAUGGGAGCGCGGGGGGGCGGGGCCCAGCGGGAGGCACGUGCGGCCGCGCACGUGUCCGCGUGGGGCCGCCGCAGCCGGGGCGGGACCGGGACGGGAGCGGGGGCACCGGCACGGGGACAGGGACCGGGACCGGGACGGCAGUGGGGACACCGGCCCCGGGACACCGAUACCGGGACAGGGACACCGGCCCCGGGACACCGAUACUGGAAGAGGGGCACCGGCCCCGGGACACCGGCCCCAGGACAUCGACCCCCGGGACAGGGGACACCAGCCCCAGGACACUGGCACUGGAACAAGGACACCGAUACCGGCACGGGAACAGGGGCAGCAGCCCCGGGACACUGAUACCGGCCCCGGGAUAUCGUCACAGCAUCGGUACCGGGACAGGGACACCGAUACCGGCCCCGGGGCGGGGGACAUCGGCACCGCCGCAGCUGCAGCCGGGAGCAGGAGCCAAGACCAGGGAGCGGCUCCCCGGGGGGGGCCCCUGCCGCCCCCCCACCCUGCCAUGGAGCCCCCCGCCCCGCACCUGCUCCUGUGCCACCCCCAGCUCCAGCCCGGGGGGUCCCUCUGACAGUGAAGCCGAGGCGGGCGCCCCCCCCCCCCCAGCCCCCCAAACCUGAGCGCAGCCGCAAGCGGCUGGGGGGGCCGGCCCGAACGCCCUCCGAGUUACCUCCAUCCCCCCGUGGGGGGAAGCGACCCCGGAGGGGCGAGGCGGGGGACUCCCCCCCCAGCGAUGCCGAUCGCCUCUUUGCCCAAAAAUGCCAGGAGCUGCGGGGUUUCAUCCAGCCGCUGGCGGAGCUGCUAGAGGGGCUGAAGCGGGGGGCGAUACGACAGAGGGCUGAGCAGCUUCCAGCAGAGCGUGGCCAUGGACCGCCUCCAGCGCAUCAUCGGGGUCCUGCAGAAGCCAGAAAUGGGCGCCCGGUACCUGGGGACGCUGCUGCAGGUCGAGGGAUGCUGCGGCUCUGGUUCCCCCACGUCGCCCCCAAACCCCCGCCGGCCCCAGCUCCCCCCCCCCGCUGCCCCCCGCCGCCGCCCCCCCGCUGGCCCCCACGGGGCUCCCCGCUGCCGCCGCCUGCCCGGGGACACCCCCGUCUCCAGCCCCACCGGAACAGUGCAGCGGGGGGGGACAUCCCCGCUGCCAC